rnacentral:rRNA from 1 species
UUGAAAAGAACUUUGAAGAGAGAGUUCAAGAGUACGUGAAACCGUUCAGGGGUAAACCUAAGAAACCCAAAAGAUCGAACGGGGAGAUUCAUCGUCAGCGGCGCUGGCUUCGCGUCGGUGGGCGAUGUUCCGCGGAGCCCUUGCGGAUCCUACCGCGGACACGCUACCGUGCGUCGAUGUCCGGCGCUCGUCGUCGUGCACUUCUCCCCUAGUAGGACGUCGCGACCCGCUGGGUGUCGGUCUACGGCCCGGGUGCGGUGACUGUCGCGUCGCCGGUAAAACGGCACACGGCAAACCCUCGGUCGCCCGGCCGGCUGCCCGGCGGUACACGCAUGGUAUCAGGCCGCACUCUUCUCACGUGUGCGUCGGGACCGUCGCAAGCGCGCGCCACGGUACUCGGAGGUUACGGACCUAGCGCCGUCCCCGGUCCUGGCCCGCUGUUGGUCGUACGGAACUCCUUCGACAGGCCUGCAAACAAUAUACCGGUCGGCGACGCUACUGCUUUGGGUACUCUUAGGACCCGUCUUGAAACACGGACCAAGGAGUCUAACAUGUACGCGAGUCAUUGGGACUAGCGAGACCUAAAGGCGCAAUGAAAGUGAAGGUCGGCCCUGGUUGUCGACCGAGGGAGGAUGGGCCGCGUCGUGAUGCGGCUCCGCACUCCCGGGGCGUCUCGUUCUCAUUGCGAGAAGAGGCGCACCCAGAGCGUACACGUUGGGACCCGAAAGAUGGUGAACUAUGCCUGGUCAGGACGAAGUCAGGGGAAACCCUGAUGGAGGUCCGUAGCGAUUCUGACGUGCAAAUCGAUCGUCGGAACUGGGUAUAGGGGCGAAAGACUAAUCGAACCAUCUAGUAGCUGGUUCCCUCCGAAGUUUCCCUCAGGAUAGCUGGCACUCGGCCGUUCCGCCAGGAACGCGCGCGAGUCUCAUCUGGUAAAGCGAAUGAUUAGAGGCCUUGGGGCCGAAACGACCUCAACCUAUUCUCAAACUUUAAAUGGGUGAGAUCUCUGGCUUUCUUGAAUUAUGAAGCCACGAGCAUCUCGGAUCAGAGUGCCAAGUGGGCCAUUUUUGGUAAGCAGAACUGGCGCUGUGGGAUGAACCAAACGCAGAGUUAAGGCGCCCAACUCGACGCUCAUGGGACACCAUGAAAGGCGUUGGUUGCUUAAGACAGCAGGACGGUGGCCAUGGAAGUCGGAAUCCGCUAAGGAGUGUGUAACAACUCACCUGCCGAAGCAACUAGCCCUGAAAAUGGAUGGCGCUGAAGCGUCGAGCCUAUACUCUGCCGUCAGCGGCAAGUGGGGCGGCCGCGCGCAAGCGCGCCGUCACGAAGCCCUGACGAGUAGGAGGGUCGCGGCGGUGUGCGCAGAAGGGUCU